CACAGCUCCCUCCCAGAGGAGCAGGUCCCAUCCCUAUUCUUUUGUCUGUUUUUUCUUUUUUCUUUUGCCCUACUCAGGUACGUGGGGAGUUUCUUGCCUUUUGGGAAGUCUGAGGUCUUCUGCCAGAGUUCGGUAGGUGUUCUGUAGGAGUUGUUCCACAUGUAGAUGUAUUUCUGAUGUAUUUGUGGGAAGGAAGGUGAUCUCUACAUCUUACUCUUCCGCCAUCCUGAAGGUCUCCUCACAGCAUUCCAUUUUAUACAAGAAUCAUUUUGUUGCAGAAUUUCUGUAAUUUCAAGUUCCAUUUUGAACCCUACUAUUAAACACAGGAGUUGGGCACUGUAACCGAUUGCAGUAAGAAAAGAAGAAUAGAUUAUUAGAGCCUAAUAAUCUUGAGAUUCUGUCCGGUCUCUGCAAGUCAAACAACCAUCCUUCAAGUUCACAGAAUCACUCAGGUAGACAUGGAAGCAAAAACCCUGGGAAACCAGAAUAUGGAACUACCCAACAUGAUAAUAUUGGUUUUUUAAUAUAUUUUAUUAUGUUUUUAAAAUCAAGCAUCUUCCUGUAUGUAGUAAAGACUUUUGAAAGGAAGCCAUGUUGCCCUCUAAGAUCUAGGAUUAUAGGAAACUGACAAGCCAACUUUUUAAUUGGGGUUGAGGGGCUGGUAAUAGUGACAUCCUGAACUGGCAUUUAAGUUCUUUUGAAUAAAAAGAAAAGGA